rnacentral:rRNA from 1 species
AUUGAACGCUGGCGGCAUGCCUUACACAUGCAAGUCGAACGGUAACAGGUCUUCGGAUGCUGACGAGUGGCGAACGGGUGAGUAAUACAUCGGAACGUGCCUAGUAGUGGGGGAUAACUACUCGAAAGAGUGGCUAAUACCGCAUGAGAUCUACGGAUGAAAGCAGGGGAUCGCAAGACCUUGUGCUACUAGAGCGGCCGAUGGCAGAUUAGGUAGUUGGUGGGAUAAAAGCUUACCAAGCCGACGAUCUGUAGCUGGUCUGAGAGGACGAUCAGCCACACUGGGACCGAGACACGGCCCAGACUCCUACGGGAGGCAGAAGUGGGGAAUUUUGGACAAUGGGCGCAAGCCUGAUCCAGCAAUGCCGCGUGCAGGAUGAAGGCCUUCGGGUUGUAAACUGCUAUUGUACGGAACGAAAAGCCCUGGGUUAAUACCCUGGGGUCAUGACGGUACCGUAAGAAUAAGCACCGGCUAACUACGUGCCAGCCGCCGCGGUAAAAC